GCACUGCUGAGGAGUCCCAUAAUAGGACGAAAUGGCCGUCCAGUGC
rfam:Schistosoma rodhaini strain Burundi genome assembly, scaffold: SROB_scaffold0008869